rnacentral:lncRNA from 1 species
UGCCUGGCAACUUUUUGCUUCUGCCCCCCAUGAAUAAUCUCAACGCACAUGCUCUUUUGAGACGAACUUCAUGAUCCUGUCUUAUCCUUUAAAAGCCUGCUGUUUGUCAACUUUGUUCCGGCGCUCUGAAUGAAUUAUAUUGUACGUACCAUCGCUGUUAAGUUGAAGCACAUUUUUGUCGUCUGAGUGAAUGACCCGUAUGUUACGGGGUCGGUAUAUAUGCAGUCUGUUUUGAAACUCAACAACAAACGUCUGUGCUUACUCUGAUCCAAA